rfam:Beta vulgaris subsp. vulgaris Bvchr2.sca017.con0032.1, whole genome shotgun sequence.
GAGCAAGGUCAUUAAUUUAGAAUGAUGCUAUCUUGCAUUGAAGGUUGGCAAUAUGAAUCAUAGGCGAUUCUCCGUGCCUUUCGAACUUUGUUUGUGUCGAUUGCGGCCUCGAACAAAUCGCUACAUU